UACAGCCAUAUCACAUUGAAGCACCAGUUCUCAUACAAUCACUGAAGUUAAGCAAUGUCAAGCCUGGUCAGUACCUAGAUGGGUUACUGCUUGGGAAUACCAAGUGCUAU